GAUGCACUGACAACCAGCUUUUUACUGCUUCUACCAAGUUUCGCAAGCUUCUUUGACAGUAAAGGUAAUAUAAAGAGAUGAAUGUUCAAUAAGUUGUAUUUUGAGUUGUUUUAAAUUAGAAGCUUUUAGUUUCUAUUGGGUCUGAAUCAUUUUAACUGAUUAAUUCAAAUUUGCUGUUUGCAGUAACUCUUUUAAAAACGGUCAGAAAAGAACCAGAUUACACUCCAAUCUGCACCAAUGAAUCGUCAAAUAUCAUCAUCAUUAUAGCGUGUCAGAUCAGAACAGAGAGAAACAAAGGAGAGGAGUGCCGUCUGCUGUACAGGGAUGGAGGCGACUUUGUUCAUGAGUGUGACUCCAGGUUCACCCUUAAAACAUUGAAUCACACUGUGUUUCUGCACCUGACCAGUUUAACUGCGGCUGACAGUGGGAACUACACCUGUGAGUGUGCAAAACUUGAUGGGAUAUUUAUUCUUCAUCUCAACAUCAUAGUUAAAGAUAAUGGAGAAGAUGAGAAUGAGAGAUGCUUUUCAGAAGUGACCCUUCCUUCUGCUUUGACUGCUGCUGCUCUCUUAUUUACUAUAGUUUUAAUUAUUGUGGGAUUUGUUCACAGAAGACAUCUACCCUGCACCCGUUUAAAAUCUGAAGCAUCUGCAUCAUCUGUACAAGGAUCAGUUGCCCCUAAAGUGAGUAAUUAUUUUAUAAAUAACAAUUUCUGAGCUUCAUAGAAUGCUUUGCUCAAAUUCUUUUUAAUCCUGCAAAAGCCUUA